rnacentral:rRNA from 1 species
UACGGAGGGUGCAAGCGUUAUCCGGAUUCACUGGGUUUAAAGGGUGCGUAGGCGGGUAUGUAAGUCAGUGGUGAAAUCCUCGAGCUUAACUCGAGAACUGCCAUUGACACUAUGUAUCUUGAAUGUCAUGGAGGUGAGCGGAAUAUGUCAUGUAGCGGUGAAAUGCUUAGAUAUGACAUAGAACACCGAUUGCGAAGGCAGCUCACUACACGAAUAUUGACGCUGAGGCACGAAAGCGUGGGGAUCAAACAGG